rnacentral:lncRNA from 1 species
UGAUUCAGCACUUUAGAAGAAAGAUCCAAGCCUAAAUAAGGUGUGCUUCCUCUCUCCUAUCUCAUUCUCUCAUUUUUUGGAGGAAAUUUUGAAAAAAUAGCUCGAAAAUUGCAAAAUAAGAAGAGAUCAUGCCUCGCAUAUGGAGUAGGAUCCAUAGACAUAUCAAGUUCCGAGUCGUAUACUGGAUCUUAUUACUCACAACCACAGGCAGCCUAUGACCCAUUCGAAUAAGGAUAUGAAUAUGGUGCGUCUGAGACAUCUUCCAAUGGCUACUACCCUACGCAGCCAGGAGCAUCUUACAAGUUGGAUUAUGCUGUCGGCUUAUUCGGAUGGGCUCCUUUACAGCCAUUUUAUUAACUAGUUUACCAGCCAAAGGACACCUCUCAGAGCUAGAGUUUCAAUGAGAGAUCCGAGAGUGCUUAUAACCCAGAGUGUGUUCCUUAAAGGAUAAACAUAGAAGAUUACAACGCCGCUUAGUUAGAGGGGUGGGCUGAUGUGCCUUCUGACUAUGCUGAUGAUCUGAAUAUCUACGAGAGUAUCGCCACUCGGCAAGAUUUUAGAUAUUGAUAUAUAUGUUGUACUUUAAAUAUAUGUAAUUGAUUAUAUUAUUUUAUAUUUUUCACCUCACUACUUGAUUUGAGGAUAUUUCAUGUUGCUUCUUGUAGCAUACAAUAUCUCACAAAUUAUUUUAUAUUUUGUAUCAUUGUAAGACAAUAAGAUGCAUCAUUUAGAUUAAACUAGGACCAUAGAAGCAUAAAAGACAUCAAAAAUAUAUCAAAUUACACUUAAAAUUAUUAAAAAAGCUCAAAAAGAUUGAUGGCCAACUCAGGGGCGGCCCAAUGCAUUUGGGGGCCUAAGGCGAAUUCACUAAGAGAGGCCUUUUAAAUAAUAAUAAUAAUAAUAAUAAUAAUAAUAAUAAUAAUAAUAAUAAUAAU